UACAGAGGGUGCGAGCGUUGUCCGGAAUCACUGGGCGUAAAGGGCGCGUAGGCGGCUUGAUAAGGUUGCGGUGAAAGCCCGGGGCUCAACCCCGGGUCGGCCGUGGCAACUGUCGAGCUGGAGCACUGUAGAGGCAGGUGGAAUUCCGGGUGUAGCGGUGGAAUGCGUAGAGAUCCGGAAGAACACCGGUGGCGAAGGCGGCCUGCUGGGCAGUGGCUGACGCUGAGGCGCGACAGCGUGGGGAGC
rnacentral:rRNA from 1 species